rfam:Schistosoma haematobium scaffold474_4, whole genome shotgun sequence.
AUCCAGCUGACGAGUCCUAAGUAGGACGAAAUGCGGGUCCUGGAU